UUGGAUGGUUGGCCUCUUGGUUACAAGCAUGUACAUUAUGGCUCUCUCCUUGCCUGGAACUGGAUAUGAGAAAUGCUUGAAUUAAGAUCUGUGAAUUAUCUUAUUUUCUUGCUCAAAGGCAAGGAAGACUGAGGAAGCUAAGUUACUGGCCAUAUGUUUAAUAAAUAUAAGCUUAAUGGCAGUGAAUGUAUUAAUGUCAGCGAAGACAAGUCUAUGAAGUUAAACAGGCACAGAGAGGCUAAGAGUCUUGCCAAAGGCCACAGAGGAAGGAAGAGACUAAAUCUGGAACAAACUUUCUAUUCUCCAUUUCCAGAAGAAACCACUAAACCAUGCUUCCUCUUGUCAUGGAAGCUUAAAAUAUUUGAUCAAACUACGUUUAAAUAAGAAUUAAAAUGCCAUUUGUCCAUCACCUAAUGGCUCAAUUUGCUCCUGCCUUGGGUGUGCACACCCUGCUCUGGAACAGACCAGAGCUCUAAAGAAGUGACUGGAAGUUGUGAAUGUCAUUGUUAUGAAGCUUCAAAUUUGCUCUCCUCUUUAGGACACAGACAUGGCAUUAGAGAAGGGCAGAAAACUGCACUUGGCUGUGCAUAGAGAACACUAGAGACCUCUUGUGCAAGAGAGGGGACUAGGUUGCGUAGUGUAAUGAGAGAAGCAUGGGUUUUGAGACCGCUACAAUGUCUGUGUCUUCUUGGCCAACAUUUCAGUAAGAGUAGUAAGCAUAUCUCCACAAUAGGGUUAAGAGAACCAGUGUCUUCUGAAAAACACAUGAAAUCAUCGUAACCCUGCUAAGUCUGUGCUUUGCAAAAAUUAAAACUAAAACUAAUUUUCAUUGCUGAAUAUGAAUGAAUACCAAGGCAGCUGGUCUCAGUCAAACUGCAGCAACGCUGGGCAUGCAGCUCAACAUCCUCUGAGACUCUGUCCUCAUUUUGCGAAAUUAGGGACAACCAGACCUAUCUUCCUGUCCUAUCAUAAGAAUUAAAGAAGACAUGGGAGUAUUCCGUAUACACCAUACACGAUAGUGAACCAGGAAGGCCCACUGGGAGGCAUUUUCAGUUUUUCAGUUGGGAUGACCUAGGAACUCAUGCUACUGACAAGAAGAGAGUUGUCAUUAUUCCUGCCCCUUUCAAGAUUGCUCUGCUUUCCAUGAUCUUUUGUCCAAAUGGGAGGUUUUUCUGUUGUGGUUUCCUGUUUUUUGGUGCCCCAAGGUAUGCUGCUGUAAGGGCAGAUGACUGGCCAUGAUGAGGAGCCAUAUAUGUACAUGUUAGAGAUGAAUCCCCAUGAAUCAGAGAUCUAAGACUUGCUGGGCUUUGAAUAACACCCUCAUGAGGAUACCGAGGAAAGCAGAGGGAGUCUUGAAACAGCAGAAGAGGAGACAGCAAUGCAAUCACAGAAGCAGAGAUUGGAGCAAUGUGGCCACGCCACAAGGAAUGCCCACAGCACCAGAAGCUGAAAGAGGCAAGAAAUGGAUUCUCCCUAAGAGCCUCUGGAAGGAACACAGCCUUCUUGGUUUGGGCCCAGUGAAACUCACUAUAGAACCUCUGGCCUCCAGAACUGUGAGAGCAUACAUUUCUGUUGGUUUAAAUCAGCAAGUUUGUGGUAAUUUGUUACACCCUAGGUUUACGGUCUAAUACACCACCUCAGAUGAGGAGAAUGAGAACUCCAUUAUGGGAAAGGUAAAAUGAAAAUUUAGAAGUGGCUAAGUUGCCAGAUAACUCUGAAACCAUAACAGCUCUGAGCUUCCUUCAUCAGAC
rnacentral:lncRNA from 1 species